UACGAAGGGUGCUAGCGUUGUUCGGAAUUACUGGGCGUAAAACGCGUGCAGGUGGUCUAGUAAGUUGAAAGUAAAAUCCCAGGGCUCAACCUUGGAACUGCUUUCAAAACUGUUAGGCUAGAGUGCGGUAGAGGAUGAUAGAAUUCCUAGUGUAGAGGUGAAAUUCUUAGAUAUUAGGAGGAAUACCGAUGGCGAAGGCAAUCAUCUGGGCCGUUACUGACACUAAUACGCGAAAGCGUGGGGAGCAAACAGG
rnacentral:rRNA from 1 species